rnacentral:rRNA from 1 species
AGCGAACGCUGGCGGCAGGCCUAACACAUGCAAGUCGAACGAACCUUUCGGGGUUAGUGGCGGACGGGUGAGUAACACGUGGGAACGUGCCUUUAGGUUCGGAAUCACUCAGGGAAACUUGUGCUAAUACCGAAUGUGCCCUUCCGGGGAAAGAUUACUCGCCUUUAGAGCGGCCGGCGUCUGUUUAGCUAGUUGGUUGAGGUAAUGGCUCACCAAGGCGACGAUCAGUAGCUGGUCUGAGAGGAUGAUCAGCCACAUUGGGACUGAGACACGGCCCAAACUCCUACGGGAGGCAGCAGUGGGGAAUCUUGCGCAAUGGGCGAAAGCCUGACGCAGCCAUGCCGCGUGAAUGAUGAAGGUCUUAGGAUUGUAAAAUUCUUUCACCGGGGACGAUAAUGACGGUACCCGGAGAAGAAGCCCCGGCUAACUUCGUG